ensembl:lncRNA
GAAAAUAAAACUGAUUUGCUUUUUACUGGAAAGCUUUUGAAUGUGAACAUUACUGUACAUGUGGACAUACAGUUCCCAACCAAGAAAUUUAGUGUAAAAAUGGUGGAUUGCAUGUUUUUGCAUGCAAAUACCUGUAAAACUGAAACAUAAAAGUCUAUGCAGUUUUUGUAAUGUCAACAAUAGCCAGUAUUUUGAAACCUGGUGUACUUUGAUUGACUGCAUGUACCUUGUGAAGUGAAAACAAGUGUUAUUCUUUGACAGAAUAAUUUCAUUUUGAGUCAGAUUUCCAGUGUUUUGGUAAAGUUAGUGUGUGCAGAGAAAGAUGUGUUCUAUUUUGAAAUGAAGAGUUAGUAUAUAUUUAACAAAAUGUGUUUUUGAGAAGAAAAUUAUCCAUUUGGCCAAUUGUGUUUUGUAGGUGUUAGUCUGUGUUAAGAGUUAAGAAAAAGUAUCUGAAGUAUGGGUAAGCGCUUGUUAGCGAUUGAAAAAAACUGUAAUAUGUUACUGGAAUUUGAGCAGAAGGAGGAAGAGCAGAGAAACCGGGAUGAGAGCAGGACAGAGAGCAAAGUGGAACAGAUGGACAGUGAUGGAGAGGAGAAAUGUAAAUCUGAGGGCCGUAUCUUGUCACGUACCACCAUGGUGCCUAGUUUCGGACCCUCUUCUCCAAUGAUGAGAAAGAAGAAGAAGAAGGAACUGAUGAAGGUGACUGAAGAGGAGGCAAAGGAGCUCCUGUCUCAUUUUAACCAUCGGAAUGUGGAUGCAUUACUGCGCCUCACCCGUAACACACUGGAGACUCUGCGCAAAUGCAUCAAUGCAACAUCACUGAUGCAUUUCCUGGGUUUGUGAAGUCACUUCCUUCAGUGGUUUUACUGAUAAUACUAUUUACUAAUAGUACAUUUAUUUUUGGUUUAUUUACAAAUGUAAUUAAGUCAAAGUUUUUCUUAAGUUGUGAAAGUGAAAGUCGUGACAUUUGCCAAGUAUGGUAACCCAUACUCGGAAUUGGUGCUCUGCAUUUAACCCAUCCAAGUGCACACACGCAGCAGUGAGAAGUGAACACACCGUGAACACACACCCGGAGCAGUGGGCAGCUAUAUAUUCAGCGCCCAGGGAGCAACUGGGGGUUCAGUGCCUUGCUCAAGGGCACUUCCAUGGGUAAUGAGGGUGGAAGAGAGUGCUUUUCAUGUGGCGUGUUCACAUUAGCAAAUUUCAGUGGAGUUUUGCAUGCAAAUAGGCCUAUUGACUAUUGUCAAUUAAAGCAGCACUGCUCACAAAGAAGUUGCUUUCAAACAAGGCAGCCUUCUGUUGUUUAGCACAACUAAGUCACACGACUGAUUUGAAAAUGUGCAAAAUCACAGUGCCCUCACACCAAACUCUUGAUCUUGUGGAUUCUUAUUGGAAUGAUUGAUUUUGUCAAGUAAUAGUUAAUGUGAAUGCACCUUUAUAUAUUUUUUUCCAAGCAUGAAGCCUUAUAUAAUGAAGCUACAACAACUAUAACUCAUUGUUAAUAAAGGCAUAGUUCACCCCAAAAUGAAAAUUCUGUCAUUAAUUACUCAUCCUCAUGUUAUUCCAAACCCGUAAGACCUUCAUUCAUCUUCGGAACCCAAAUUAAAAUAAUUUUGAUAAAAUCCGAGAGCUCUCUGACCUUGCAUAGACAGCAACGCAACUGCAACUUCCCAGAAACCUAGUAAUGUCAUCGGUAAAACAGUCCAUGUGACAU